rnacentral:rRNA from 1 species
AGCAGCCGCGGUAAUUCCAGCUCCAAUAGCGUAUAUUAAAGUUGUUGCAGUUAAAAAGCUCGUAGUUGAAUUUCGGGAUCAAUAUGCCGGUCAUGCCUUGGUAUGCACUGGUAUCUUUGAUUUCUCCCUUCUGACGAACUUUGAUGUCAUUAAUUUGGUGUCAUAGGGAAUCAGGACUGUUACUUUGAAAAAUUAGAGUGUUUAAAGCAGGCUCACGCUUGAAUACAUUAGCAUGGAAUAAUGAAAUAGGACGUUUGAUUCUAUUUUGUUGGUUUCUAGGAUCGACGUAAUGAUUAAUAGGGAUAGUUGGGGGCAUUAGUAUUCAAUUGUCAGAGGUGAAAUUCUUGGAUUUAUUGAAGACUAACUACUGCGAAAGCAUUUGCCAAGGAUGUUUUCAUUAAUCAAGAACGAAAGUUAGGGGAUCGAAGACGAUCAGAUACCGUCGUAGUCUUAACCAUAAACUAUGCCGACUAGGGAUCGGAUGAUGUUAAUUUUUUAANGUA